rnacentral:tRNA from 1 species
GAGAGUGGGAGCGCUCAGACCUACAAACUUUUAAUCUGUAGGUCCUGGGUUCGAGUCCCAGCGCGCUCA